rnacentral:rRNA from 1 species
CCUACGGGAGGCAGCAGUGCGGAAUAUUGGUCAAUGGACGCAAGUCUGAACCAGCCAUGCCGCGUGCAGGAAGACGGCUCUAUGAGUUGUAAACUGCUUUUGUACGAGGGUAAACGCAGAUACGCGUAUCUGUCUGAAAGUAUCGUACGAAUAAGGAUCGGCUAACUCCGUGCCAGCAGCCGCGGUAAUACGGAGGAUUCAAGCGUUAUCCGGAUUUAUUGGGUUUAAAGGGUGCGUAGGCGGUCGGAUAAGUUAGAGGUGAAAUCCCGAGGCUCAACUUCGGAAGUGCCGCUGAUACGGUGCGGCUAGAGAGUAGUUGCGGUAGGCGGAAUGUAUGGUGUAGCGGUGAAAUGCUUAGAGAUCAUACAGAACACCGAUUGCGAAGGCAGCUUACCAAGCUACUUCUGACGUUGAGGCACGAAAGCGUGGGGAGCAAACAGGAUUAGAUACCCCGGUAGUC